rnacentral:rRNA from 1 species
UACGAAGGUCCCAAGCGUUAUCCGGAUUUAUUGGGUUUAAAGGGUGCGUAGGUGGGUUGAUAAGUCAGUGGUGAAAUCCCCGAGCUUAACUUGGGAACUGCCAUUGAUACUAUUGAUCUUGAAUACCGUGGAGGUCAGCGGAAUAUGUCAUGUAGCGGUGAAAUGCUUAGAUAUGACAUAGAACACCAAUUGCGAAGGCAGCUGGCUACGCGAAUAUUGACACUGAUGCACGAAAGCGUGGGGAUCAAACAGG